UACGUAGGUGGCGAGCGUUGUCCGGAUUUACUGGGCGUAAAGGGAGCGUAGGCGGACUUUUAAGUAAGAUGUGAAAUACUCGGGCUCAACUUGAGUGCUGCAUUUCAAACUGGAAGUCUAGAGUGCAGGAGAGGAGAAUGGAAUUCCUAGUGUAGCGGUGAAAUGCGUAGAGAUUAGGAAGAACACCAGUGGCGAAGGCGAUUCUCUGGACUGUAACUGACGCUGAGGCUCGAAAGCGUGGGGAGCAAACAGG
rnacentral:rRNA from 1 species